rnacentral:rRNA from 1 species
GAGUUUGAUYCUGGCUCAGGAUGAACGCUAGCUACAGGCUUAACACAUGCAAGUCGAGGGGAAACGGCAUUUAGUGCUUGCACCGAAUGGACGUCGACCGGCGCACGGGUGAGUAACGCGUAUCCAACCUUCCCAUAACUAAGGGAUAACCUGCCGAAAGGCAGACUAAUACCUUAUGUAAUCCUUUGAUGGCAUCAGAUAAGGAUAAAAGAUUUAUCGGUUAUGGAUGGGGAUGCGUCUGAUUAGCUUGUUGGCGGGGUAACGGCCCACCAAGGCAACGAUCAGUAGGGGUUCUGAGAGGAAGGUCCCCCACAUUGGAACUGAGACACGGUCCAAACUCCUACGGGAGGCAGCAGUGAGGAAUAUUGGUCAAUGGACGGAAGUCUGAACCAGCCAAGUAGCGUGCAGGAUGACGGCCCUAUGGGUUGUAAACUGCUUUUGUAUGGGGAUAAAGUCAAUCACGUGUGAUUGUUUGUAGGUACCAUACGAAUAAGGACCGGCUAAUUCCGUGCCAGCAGCCGCGGUAAUACGGAAGGUCCGGGCGUUAUCCGGAUUUAUUGGGUUUAAAGGGAGCGUAGGCUGGAGAUUAAGUGUGUUGUGAAAUGUAGACGCUCAACGUCUGACUUGCAGCGCAUACUGGUUUCCUUGAGUACGCACAACGUUGGCGGAAUUCGUCGUGUAGCGGUGAAAUGCUUAGAUAUGACGAAGAACUCCGAUUGCGAAGGCAGCUGACGGGAGCGCAACUGACGCUGAAGCUCGAAGGUGCGGGUAUCGAACAGGAUUAGAUACCCUGGUAGUCCGCACAGUAAACGAUGGAUGCCCGCUGUUGGUACCUGGUAUCAGCGGCUAAGCGAAAGCAUUAAGCAUCCCACCUGGGGAGUACGCCGGCAACGGUGAAACUCAAAGGAAUUGACGGGGGCCCGCACAAGCGGAGGAACAUGUGGUUUAAUUCGAUGAUACGCGAGGAACCUUACCCGGGCUUGAAUUGCAGAGGAAGGAUUUAGAGAUAAUGACGCCCUUCGGGGUCUCUGUGAAGGUGCUGCAUGGUUGUCGUCAGCUCGUGCCGUGAGGUGUCGGCUUAAGUGCCAUAACGAGCGCAACCCUUGUCAUUAGUUGCCAUCAUUAAGUUGGGCACUCUAAUGAGACUGCCGGUGACAAGCCGGAGGAAGGUGGGGAUGACGUCAAGUCCUCAUGGCCCUUAUGACCAGGGCUUCACACGUCAUACAAUGGUCGGUACAGAGGGUAGCCAAGCCGCGAGGUGGAGCCAAUCUCACAAAACCGAUCGUAGUCCGGAUUGCACUCUGCAACUCGAGUGCAUGAAGUCGGAAUCGCUAGUAAUCGCAGGUCAGCAUACUGCGGUGAAUACGUUCCCGGGUCUUGUACACACCGCCCGUCACACCAUGGGAGUGGGGGAUACCAGAAGUAGGUAGGGUAACCGCAAGGAGCCCGCUUACCACGGUAUGCUUCAUGACUGGGGUGAAGUCGUAACAAGGUAGCCGUAGGGGAACCUGCGGCUGGAUCACCUCCUAAGGGC